rnacentral:rRNA from 1 species
UACGUAGGGUGCAAGCGUUGUCCGGAAUUAUUGGGCGUAAAGAGCUCGUAGGCGGUUGUCGCGUCGAAUGUGAAAACCCGGGGCUCAACCCCGGGCCUGCAUUCGAUACGGGCAGACUAGAGUUCGGUAGGGGAGUCUGGAAUUCCUGGUGUAGCGGUGAAAUGCGCAGAGUAUCAGGAGGAACACCGGUGGCGAAGGCGGGACUCGUG